rnacentral:rRNA from 1 species
AUCCAGACUCCUACGGGAGGCAGCAGUGGGGGAUAUUGCACAAUGGGGGGAACCCUGAUGCAGCGACGCCGCGUGAGUGAAGAAGUACUUCGUUAUGUAAAGCUCUAUCAGCAGGGAAGAAUAAAUGACGGUACCUGAGUAAGAAGCCCCGGCUAACUACGUGCCAGCAGCCGCGGUAAUACGUAGGGGGCAAGCGUUAUCCGGAUUUACUGGGUGUAAAGGGAGCGUAGACGGCGAUGCAAGCCAGAUGUGAAAGCCCGCGGCUCAACUGCGGUAGUGCAUUUGGAACUGUAUGGCUGGAGUGCAGGAGAGGCAGGCGGAAUUCCUAGUGUAGCGGUGAAAUGCGUAGAUAUUAGGAGGAACACCAGUGGCGAAGGCGGCCUGCUGGACUGUAACUGACGUUGAGGCUCGAAAGCGUGGGGAGCAAACAGGAUUAGAUACCCUUGUA